AUGGAGGGGGCUGUGGAGGCCGGGGAGAGAGCAGCUCGAGAGAUCCUGCAUGCCAUGGGGAAGAUUCCAGAGGAUGAAAUCUGGCAGUCAGAACCGGAGUCUGUGGUAAGUUAUAUUUUAUUUCAUGAAUUUAAAUCUCUUUCAUCUAAAAACAAUUAUUUUCAAAAAGAACACACUUGUAUAUAUUUACAUACCUUUCCCAGUGUGAUUCAAUCCUUGAAUGCUUAA
rnacentral:lncRNA from 1 species